CUGAAAAAGUUGAUAAAUUUGGAAGACAAGGCUCGAGAGUCUUGGCUGAUAAUAUUUAUUACAACACAAAAGAAAUCAUAGGAGGUCAUGGUCGAAGCCACCAUCAUUCAUUGCAACCUGGUAAUGCUGGUCGUAUUUUAUCAGAAAUCCCAUCAGGUCCAGAUCCCAUUCAUAACCCCGAUUCCCCUAGUGCACGUGUUUAUGGUUGAUGUGUGGAUGGAAUAGAUGUAUUCAAUAUUUAUAAAAUAAAUUGUGAGAUUCUGUAUACACUUGAUGUACUAGUUCAAUGUUAAUAAUUAAAUGUUAUAAACUCAAGUUAUAGAGUUCA